rnacentral:lncRNA from 1 species
CGCCCCCAUGUCCUGAGGCAAAUACCUGCUGAUCAUGGAUGGACAAAUAUGGGAGUCGAGUUAGAUUGCUCGAUCUCAUCUUCGUUGUAUGCUAUGCUCCUCUUGACCUGAGAUCUACUUGGGAUAGCCUCUUACGGUAAUAGAAAUUUCACCUUACGAUAUUGCCUGUCAUCCUUCCGAGUCUUGCAUCUCAUGCCCAAU